rnacentral:rRNA from 1 species
GACCCCAGGUCAGGCGGGGCCACCCGCUGAGUUUAAGCAUAUCAUAAAGCCGGAGGAAGUUGUUGUCAAAUCCCGCGGGGCAUAUGUUCUGUGAACUCUUGAUUUCUAGCUCUGUGAGCGCUGUUCCGCGCCGGCGGGUACU